rnacentral:piRNA from 1 species
UGUGUGUGCAAAUGUCAAGUUCAGGG